GGGUUGUGAGGUUAAGCGACUAAGCGUACACGGUGGAUGCCCUGGCAGUCAGAGGCGAUGAAGGACGUGCUAAUCUGCGAUAAGCGCCGGUAAGGUGAUAUGAACCGUUAUAACCGGCGAUUUCCGAAUGGGGAAACCCAGUGUGACUCGUCACACUAUCAUUAACUGAAUCCAUAGGUUAAUGAGGCGAACCGGGGGAACUGAAACAUCUAAGUACCCCGAGGAAAAGAAAUCAACCGAGAUUCCCCCAGUAGCGGCGAGCGAACGGGGAGGAGCCCAGAGCCUGAAUCAGCAUGUGUGUUAGUGGAAGCGUCUGGAAAGGCGCGCGAUACAGGGUGACAGCCCCGUACACAAAAGCGCAUGUGCUGUGAGCUCGAUGAGUAGGGCGGGACACGUGGUAUCCUGUCUGAAUAUGGGGGGACCAUCCUCCAAGGCUAAAUACUCCUGACUGACCGAUAGUGAACCAGUACCGUGAGGGAAAGGCGAAAAGAACCCCGGCGAGGGGAGUGAAAAAGAA
rnacentral:rRNA from 1 species